CUUGGAUAGAGAUCUUUGAGAUGGGGGAAGGAAGAGAAAGUCAUUUUUUGUUAGUUUAGUCUAGUGGUUCUCAAAGGAGGGUGAUUGGGCCCCACAGAGGACAUCUGGCAAUGCCUGGAGACACUUUUGGUUGUCAUAUCUGGGGGAGGUGAUUCUACUGGCUUGUAGUGGAUAGAGACGAGGGAUGCUGCUAAAUGUCCUAUAACGCACAAGACAGACCACCCAAACAAAGAAGUCAUCUGACCUGAAAUGUCAAUAGUGCUGAGACUGAGAAGCCCUGGUUGAGCCAUUGCUUGAUGGAUGGAAGCAAUGCACUUGGAAGGAGAGAAUAGCGUGUUGCUCUUCUGACAACAUAUAGCCACCCACACAAAUGAGGAACUGUGAGAGUGCGUUUAAAAUAGACCUGCUAGGUGGCACAUCGCACUUGUGUCUGAAACUGUGCUGGCGAGAGACUGAUUAGUGCAUGCCUGCUUUUCAACUUCCAGCUCUUUCUUUCACUUCUUGCAAUUAGUAUGUAUCCAGCUGUUACUGUGAACAUGAACAGGAGGAAAAGCAGUCGCGAGACUGUUCUUUUAUUACCCUGUGUGUAUAGGGUUACAGUUUUAGCUGGUCCUGUAUCAGACACUCAGAGUGGAUUUUCUUUUUCCUGCUCUUUUCUCGUGUUGUUAAAAUUUCUUUCUCAAAGUGUGACCAUUUUCUUUUUCAAAGUAUAACCAAAUAGCUAUUUCACAUCAGGCUAACUAGUCUCCAACAUCAGCUGGACUCCAGCCUUUCAGCUUCUACACAGUACAGUCAUUUUUUUUUUCUUGUUUUUAUUCUCCAUGUGGGUUUCUGGCCAUGAUUCCUGAGCAUGGCACAUGCAUUCUAGUUUCAAAUCAAACACAAAUGUGCUAGCGACUAGCGUCCCCCAUUCGUCUGCUGUCUCUUCUCCCCAUGCUUAUAGUUGUUUCUGUUGCCACACAGUGCUGGACAGCCUUUCUGUCCCAGCCAAUAGGGCCUGUGACUUCACAAUGUGUCAGGACUAAUCUGGAUUUAGAGGAAAAAACUUGCAAUUUACCCUUUAGAAGUGAGUGCUUAAAGCUGAGUGACAUACAAGUGGAAAGGCAGAAAAUUGUAGCCUGUAAUUACCUUAUAAACCUCAAACCACAAAUUUCUCUUUGUUGUAUUGGGGAUGCCCUUCUGUCUUCAGAUGGCAGCUCUGGUGGGGUGAGAAAGGUUGGCCCCACAGCCCAUCCUGGGUGUGGAGGCAGUGCAGGCCAAACCCUAGGCCCCUGAUGGAUUCCUGAAUAGGCCUCCCCACCAACACCAGCCAUGCCUAUUUGUGGUCCUUGCCAUUCAUCAGUGGGAGCUUUGGGGAAAGAGGUUAUUGUGAGUAUGGCUAUAGCUUCAGAAGACUUGCCCUUGAUAUCUGUGAAGGCCUCACUGGUAUUGGGGCCAGGGUUGUGCUACUAAGGUGGCCACACCCUCUGCCUGCCCUCUUUCCUGGCCUUUGAUGGAAACUGAAAUCCAAUGUGCUUAGCUAUAUGCAGGCCAAGGAAUGGGGGGGAGGGAAAGGGCCAUUCCUAUGGCCAGAGUAAGCCUGGGGUUCAGGAUGGUUAAAUUGUACAUGCCUUUCCCAGUCAGAAGUUUGCAGCCUUUCGCAUGAAACUUUAGAACUAGCAGCCUGGAACUGUGGUUCUUAGCUUGAGGAAUAUGAUUCCCAUGGGGCUCACCAAGUAGCAAACUCUGAAGCCUCAUCAUUUUUCUUCUUGAUUUCGGCCAGCUGUUAUCUCCCCACCCCUCACAACUGUCUCCAGAUAACCUACUUUUAGGUUUGGAUCAUGCAGGAUUUCCAUCAGGCUUUUAUUCAUGAUUUAAUUUCCCAUCUCCUCCAUAGUAUUUUGGGUUAACUAGCCUAAAGAUCAACCUUUCAGGCUUUUAAAAAAAAGAAACAUGAUUAGUCCCCAGGAAUGUGGAUAUUUGCUUAAGACUUCUCGAGAUGGCUUCAGCUGGCUUCAGUGCAGAUAUGAUAAAAAAAAAUUGGAACAAGUCAGGAAUAUCCACAUUUGGGGAUAGUGAUCCUCUGGUAGAGUACAAACUAAUUGAUUGAAAGGGGAAAAAGGAAAGAUUUAAAGGGGAUACACUUACUAUCCUAACUAAAGGAGUCCUAAUGACUAGGAAAUUGUACAUUUGUUUAGAUUCAAAGACAGAACUGUCACUUUUAAGCAUGAAAAAAAAUGCCUAUAAUGAUAAAAACUCCAAACAAAAAAAGAAAAGGAAGGAAGAAGGAAGGAAAGGGAGGGAAGGAGAGAGAACAUUCUGGGUGACAAGUCAAUAGGCUCAUUAUCUUCAUAAAGAGUCUAAUUAAUAAAACAGAGCAGGAAAGGACUUUGAUUCCAUUUUACAGGGAGGAAAUUGAGGUUCGGAAGAGUUUUCUGCUUUCAGUUUUUAAGCGUCAACAACUCAAAAAAUAUGUACUUUGCAAUAUCCGUAAAUAUGGGGUCUGAAACCCAACGAACCCACAGGAAUUUGGAUCCUUUGGGGGGAAAAAACAGUAUGAAUUAGUGAAGAGUCUGAAUUUCAGAAUUUUUUCAAUUAUUUUAAAGACCAUUCCAGUUAACUGGAACGCCCGGAGCACUUGGCACAAUGGGAAAGGGGAGAUUUCAAGCUGAAGGGUGGAGAUGCCAAGCGUCUAAAAGCCACACUUAAAAGCUGCUAAGCUGAAAACUUUAACAGCAGGGAAAAAAGUGUUAGAGGUCAUUCUGGCAGACUUUACUCCUCAUUAAAUAAAAAAGGCAGUUUUCCACAACAGCUCACUUCCACCAGGUCAAAUAACUGACCUCCCACAUCAGUGAGACAAAACAGGAUGUAUUCAAGGCUCUUAGGGUGCUAUUUUAAUAAAUUGAUCAUUUAUUUUAAUUAACUUGGGUUGAUUUGAUACUAAAUGGUACAUGUAAGUACUUGGAAGAAUUAGUUCCAAAUAUUGCAAAUAAUUUACCUGCAACUUUUUAUUAAACCAGGGAAUUUCUAAGCCAAGUGAGAUUUUAGCAAUACUCUGCUGAAGUUUUGAACAAAUCCAAGCUAAAGGAGAUGAACAGCUGAGGUUUACUAUGUUAAUUCAACUUGUAGGUUAUUUUUCCACCUACUGUCUUCUGUAUGUGCACUCAUAUACAACUGUAAGCUCACUCUGUUGAUAAAAAUGAUAGUGGUCACCCUGCUCUGCUAAAUAAUAUCUUCAAUCUAAGAUUUGGACAAACCAGGCAAUUAAUAAGAAUGUAAUGAGGCCUUAUGAAAUCAGGAGCACCAUGCUGUCGGUCCUGAAUGAUAGUGAGGCCUAAAUAGUUUUAUUUGUGAUCCUUUCAAAUAAAGAACUUGAUUUUCGUCAGUGCAGCCAUUUUUUACUUGGACAUAUUUCAAGCAACAUUAAGAAAUACCACACUGAACAGAAAAGUCUUUGAGAGCAGGGAUUGAGUCUUAGUUCUCUCAAAGUCUCUCAAUCUUAGCACUACUGACAUCUGGGGCUGGAUGGUUCUCUGUCAUGGAGGGCUAUCUCAUGCAUUGCAGGAUGUUCAGAGGCAUCCUUGGCUUCUUUCUAUGAGAUGAUAAAAAUUUCUCCAGACAUUGCCAACUGUCCCUCAAGGGUUGGGAUCAAAGUCAUCCCUGAUCCAGAAUCACUGCUUUAUCUCUGGUGCCUGACACCUGGCCCAGAACAGAGGCUCAAAAGUUCCUUGAUAAACAAACAUGAUCAACCAAUCAGGAAGAAGAAUCUAGAGCAAUGGUCUCUGAUAUCCCACUCAUAUUUUCUGCUUUGUUUCUAUAAGGCUAAUCUGGCCAGGAAAUGAUUAUUUGGUACCAGUGUUCACCUAUCCAAAAGGUUGUUAUUUAUCUACCAUGUCAUGUGCCCUCUAGAACCUUCCCUCUAGUAAAGGAGUUUCAGCAGGAUUACCACCUUAAAGAAAGAGCAGGCACUCUGCCAGUCCUGACAGGAUGCCUCAUUAUUUUACUAGCACCAUGAAACUGGAAGGAUCCGUUAUUCAAAACUCACCCUGUGAUGACUGUUCAUUGGUCUUAUUUCCAAGGGUAGCAUAACCCAGGAAUUCACAAACAUUGCCAGAAAGUUGGGGUUUUUUCCCCUCAUGUUUUACCUAAAUUCUUUUUGCUGUAAUUGAGCCCAGAGUUUUGUCUUUAAUGGAAACAAAAGCCAAAGCUCCUCUUGUAGUCGUUGUAUAUGUAAGCACCAGAUCUUUUUGCAGCCUCCUUCCCUUGGACUCGAGAGUCCCAUCUCCUCUCAUUUUCUUGGAGUUCCUACUUUAUAAUCCUGUCGUCAUCUUGGUUGCUCUUUCCCCAAUUUCUCCAUCUACUUUGUAGAGUCAAGAACUCCAGGUAGGUGAUGAAAAUGUUCUAAAGUUGAUUGUAGUGAUGGUUGUACAACUCUGUGAAUAUACUUCUAAAAACUUUGAAUUGUACACUUUUAAAUGGGUGAAUUGUAUGGUAUGUGAAUUAUAUCUCAAUAAAGUUGUUAUCUUCUAAAAAAUAAUAAAAGAACC
rnacentral:lncRNA from 1 species